rnacentral:rRNA from 1 species
GCUUGCUUCUCUGAUGUUAGCGGCGGACGGGUGAGUAACACGUGGAUAACCUACCUAUAAGACUGGGAUAACUUCGGGAAACCGGAGCUAAUACCGGAUAAUAUUUUGAACCGCAUGGUUCAAAAGUGAAAGACGGUCUUGCUGUCACUUAUAGAUGGAUCCGCGCUGCAUUAGCUAGUUGGUAAGGUAACGGCUUACCAAGGCAACGAUGCAUAGCCGACCUGAGAGGGUGAUCGGCCACACUGGAACUGAGACACGGUCCAGACUCCUACGGGAGGCAGCAGUAGGGAAUCUUCCGCAAUGGGCGAAAGCCUGACGGAGCAACGCCGCGUGAGUGAUGAAGGUCUUCGGAUCGUAAAACUCUGUUAUUAGGGAAGAACAUAUGUGUAAGUAACUGUGCACAUCUUGACGGUACCUAAUCAGAAAGCCACGGCUAACUACGUGCCAGCAGCCGCGGUAAUACGUAGGUGGCAAGCGUUAUCCGGAAUUAUUGGGCGUAAAGCGCGCGUAGGCGGUUUUUUAAGUCUGAUGUGAAAGCCCACGGCUCAACCGUGGAGGGUCAUUGGAAACUGGAAAACUUGAGUGCAGAAGAGGAAAGUGGAAUUCCAUGUGUAGCGGUGAAAUGCGCAGAGAUAUGGAGGAACACCAGUGGCGAAGGCGACUUUCUGGUCUGUAACUGACGCUGAUGUGCGAAAGCGUGGGGAUCAAACAGGAUUAGAUACCCUGGGUAGUCCACGCCGUAAACGAUGAGUGCUAAGUGUUAGGGGGUUUCCGCCCCUUAGUGCUGCAGCUAACGCAUUAAGCACUCCGCCUGGGGAGUACGACCGCAAGGUUGAAACUCAAAGGAAUUGACGGGGACCCGCACAAGCGGUGGAGCAUGUGGUUUAAUUCGAAGCAACGCGAAGAACCUUACCAAAUCUUGACAUCCUUUGACAACUCUAGAGAUAGAGCUUUCCCCUUCGGGGGACAAAGUGACAGGUGGUGCAUGGUUGUCGUCAGCUCGUGUCGUGAGAUGUUGGGUUAAGUCCCGCAACGAGCGCAACCCUUAAGCUUAGUUGCCAUCAUUAAGUUGGGCACUCUAAGUUGACUGCCGGUGACAAACCGGAGGAAGGUGGGGAUGACGUCAAAUCAUCAUGCCCCUUAUGAUUUGGGCUACACACGUGCUACAAUGGACAAUACAAAGGGCAGCGAAACCGCGAGGUCAAGCAAAUCCCAUAAAGUUGUUCUCAGUUCGGAUUGUAGUCUGCAACUCGACUACAUGAAGCUGGAAUCGCUAGUAAUCGUAGAUCAGCAUGCUACGGUGAAUACGUUCCCGGGUCUUGUACACACCGCCCGUCACACCACGAGAGUUUGUAACACCCGAAGCCGGUGGAGUAA